ensembl:misc_RNA
GCAACAGCUCUGGAAACUGAACUUCUUCAUUUAUCUGCCGAACAAACAUGGCAUGGGCUGCUGCAGGGCAAACCCUAUCAGCCUGUCUAAGCUUAGUCCUGGUAGGUACAGCUGCCAGGGUGAGAGAGGAGUUGUGUACCCAUAUCUUGUUCAGCACUGGACCUCU